UACUUCUCCUUUUUGUUGAUGACAAAGGGGGAGAAGUAUGUUGAUGACAUGACAUGUGAUGCAUAAGUUUAUGCAUAUGUUCAUGUUGACGUGUUGCAAGUAUUCAUGAUGAAUAUUGCAAUGACUUGAAUUCAGUUUGAAUUCAAGGUUCUAUCAAUAUGGCAUAUUGAUAGGGGGAGUUUGUUUAAACUUCGGGAGU
rnacentral:lncRNA from 1 species